rnacentral:rRNA from 1 species
CCUACGGGGGGCAGCAGUGAGGAAUAUUGGUCAAUGGGCGGGAGCCUGAACCAGCCAAGUCGCGUGAGGGAAGACGGUCCUAUGGAUUGUAAACCUCUUUAGGCGGGGAGCAAUGCCGGGCACGCGUGCCCGGAGGGAGAGUACCCGCAGAAUAAGCAUCGGCUAACUCCGUGCCAGCAGCCGCGGUAAUACGGAGGAUGCGAGCGUUCUCCGGAUUUAUUGGGUGUAAAGGGUGCGUAGACGGGAAAACAAGUUAGUUGUGAAAUCCCUCGGCUUAACUGAGGAACUGCAACUAAAACUAUGUUUCUUGAGUGCAGGAGAGGUAAGUGGAAUUCCUAAUGUAGCGGUGAAAUGCGUAGAUAUUAGGAGGAACACCAGUGGCGAAGGCGACUUACUGGACUGUAACUGACGUUGAGGCACGAAAGUGUGGGGAGCAAACAGGAUUAGAUACCCUAGUAGUC